GACGAACGCUGGCGGCGUGCCUAAUACAUGCCAGUAGAACGCACAGUUUAUACCGUAGCUUGCUACACCAUAGACUGUGAGUUGCGAACGGGUGAGUAACGCGUAGGUAACCUGCCUGGUAGCGGGGGAUAACUAUUGGAAACGAUAGCUAAUACCGCAUAAUAUUAAUUAUUGCAUGAUAAUUAAGUGAAAGGUGCAAUUGCACCACUACCAGAUGGACCUGCGUUGUAUUAGCUAGUAGGUGAGGUAACGGCUCACCUAGUCGACGAUACAUAGCCUACCGGGUGGGGGGGUCGGCGGCCAUGGGGAGGGGACGCGGCCCAGGGGACUAAGGGAGGCAGCAGUAGGGAAUCUUAGGCAAUGGACGAAAGUCUGACAGAAUGAGGGGGCGUGAGUGAAGGAGGUUUUCGGAUCGUAAAGACGUGUUGUAAGAGGAGAACGGGUGUGAGAAUGGAAGGUUCACAUUGUGACGGUACCUUAACAGAAAGCGCCGGCUAACUACGUG
rnacentral:rRNA from 1 species